CGAGAGGAUACAGCUGACACCUUUGAUUUUCCCUUCCCUUCAAGAAAGGUUGAUAAAGCAACGAAACGAAAGAAGCAAAAGUCUAAAGUCUGGCUUAGAGUCUGGAAAGUAAUUGCAAAAAUGCUGGAGGAAAAUGAGAAGUUCAGAAGUCGACUGUUGACUUGCAGUCAGUGUAAUGGAGAAGGAGGAGUCCAUCUUUGGCUGGGUGUAGCAAGAAAAUAAAGGAAGAUUGAAUCUGACAGGAAUAAAAAAGUAGUGAUAUUUUCUCUUUUGAUCUAGUUCUUACUGACAUCAGUGGCAAGAUUACAAGUGAUUUCAGCGCACGCUGGAUUAGGCCCACCGUUGUUUGUUUGGCAUGUGUGUUUCUACUGUUUAAGAGGUUUGUUUUCAGCAUGGUUAUACAGCUCUGUUGUGAGAUAUUUAUUUGAAGUCAUUAAGUCUAGUAUUUCACUUAGAUAUUAGUUUUCAAAGGCUUUUUAAUGAGCAUAAUGCUGUGAGUUCAUCUGCAAAAGAAUGGAGAUGCAUAUUCAGUGCUGACUCUGCAUCAUACUAUUUUGUAGCUUGUCGGAAUUGUAAACAAACAUAAAUUCAGUAAAGUAGCACUCACAUAAAAUAUGUAGAAGCACUUUUAUUCUUACUGAUUUAAAUAAUUUUGAUUUUAUUAUAUUAAAAUAAUAUGCAAUUACCCUUCUGUUCUUUCAACCAUUUAGAUAUGAAUCUCAGCAAGUAUUCUGAAUGUGAAACAAGGUGAAUGUUUUCUGUCUUAUUGUUCAUUGUGAAAUACAUAAUGAUAUCAUCACAAUCAGAAGGUAUUGUUUAUCUGGCUGACUUUAAUAACAUGAUAUAAUUUUCUUCUCUUGUGGAGUUUCCUAUUUAGACUUUACAUUGACUGUUAAAUCCUUUUAAACUAGUAAAUUCUGUGAAAGGAACAUGA